AUUGAACGCUGGCGGCAUGCCUUACACAUGCAAGUCGAACGCGAAAGGGGGGCAACCCCCGAGUAGAGUGGCGGACGGGUGAGUAAUACAUCGGAACGUACCCAGUAGUGGGGGACAACCUCGAGAAAUCGAGGCUAAUACCGCAUACGACCCACGGGUGAAAGCGGGGGACCGCAAGGCCUCGCGCUAUUGGAGCGGCCGAUGUCCGAUUAGCUAGUUGGUGGGGUAAGAGCCAACCAAGGCGACGAUCGGUAGCUGGUCUGAGAGGACGACCAGCCACGCUGGGACUGAGACACGGCCCAGACUCCUACGGGAGGCAGCAGUGGGGAAUUUUGGACAAUGGGGGCAACCCUGAUCCAGCCAUGCCGCGUGCGGGAAGAAGGCCUUCGGGUUGUAAACCGCUUUCGGCCGGAACGAAAUCGCCGGGGAGAACAUCCCCGGUGGAUGACGGUACCGGAAGAAGAAGCACCGGCUAACUACGUGCCAGCAGCCGCAGUAAGAC
rnacentral:rRNA from 1 species